UGGUCAAGUUAUUAAGGGUGCAGGGCGGAUGCCUUGGCACUAGGAGCCGAUGAAGGACGUGAUAAGCUGCGAUAAGCUUCGGGGAGUUGCACGUAAACUUUGAUCCGAAGAUUUCCGAAUGAGGAAACUCACUUAGAGUAAUGUCUAAGUAUCAUUAAGUGAAUACAUAGCUUAAUGAGGGGAACUCAGGGAACUGAAACAUCUAAGUACCUGAAGGAAGAGAAAGAAAUUCGAUUCCGUAAGUAGCGGCGAGCGAACGCGGAUUAGCCCAAACCAAUAAAGUUUUCUUUAUUGGGGUUGCGGACAUAUCAUAACGAAGAGGUAUCGUAAUUGAAGAGGUUUGGAAAGACCCACCACAGAAGGUA
rnacentral:rRNA from 1 species